UUAGUGCACUUUAAGUUUAUUCAUCACAUGCAGAGCAGUUUAACAACAUGGAUACUGAGGACACGUUGUGUGUUAUUGAUCAGGAUUUUAAUCAGUGCUUGAGAGAGAACUGCAUCUGUUCAAUCAGCAGAAAAGAAAUGCUGUCUACAGCAAGCUUUGCUUUCAAAGCUCUGUUAUGGACUGAGAGACGCUUCUUAUCUUCAGUAGCUGGGCGCUGCCCUCGUGUCGUUCUUCAGCCCAAGCCUUUGACACCAAACACAUUUCAUAGCAGUUAUUUUCAGCCUGAAGCAGAGGAUUUGAUUUGCUGUUGAAGGCAGCGCUCCGUGAGAGCUGUGCUUCCAAACCAUUUACAGGCUGACGUUACAAUGACCCCGGCUGCAUUUCUUUCAAAUGAGUAACAGCCUGACAUGGUACGUUUCUAGGAAUCUAGAUUUUGAUUAACUUUUUACAGCGUGCGUAUUUAUGACAGCAGGCCAGCAUCGUGAAGCCCGCUCACGUUUGGCCAAACGAGGGAGUGAACAGAGAUUUGGAUGAAGGCAUGAACUAUGAAAUAUUGGUUCUGAAUUCUUGCUGAAGCUGUCAGACCAACAGGCAACACAGCAGGUGCUGAUCUGCACGAGCGCUGACAGACGCCCCGUGCUCUUUAAAGCUGGGCAAGGUAACUGUGCCGGCUGGCAGCUGAAGACAGCAGCGAGGAGAAGCUAAAACACUGAAGGGUGAUGUCAGCAGGCCGCACGUGCACAGAGUUGAUCCUUCAUGUCAUCAGGUGUGCGAGGAAGAAAAGAGGCGAGUUCUCGUGGUUCAGGCUAUAACAUGAAGCACUGCGACAUGGAAAUGUAUUAUGUCAGUGAGAGGAGGCAUUACAGGAGCCAAUCGAAUGGUCGAGUCGCUUCUUACACACAACAUAAACUAACCUCGGCAUGAAACCGUCUGCUUGUUUUCUCCUCAAUAAAAGAUUCUCCAACCAGCUCACGGGUGGCUGUUGGGUUUGUGAUGGAGGCUCCACCAGGAACUUCCUUGUAGUUUGGAUGAAAAUACCAACAUUUGCUAACUAACUAACUAACUAACUAACUAACUAUCUUUGCAGCCAGUUUCACAGUAGCGCCUACUUGGCAGCUGGGUGUGGGAUCCACAUUUUCCCUGGCAAACGGGAGUUUGCAGAGCGACCUGUGUGACUCGGGCUUGCUGCUGCUGUUAUUUUCAAAUGGAAUAGUUGCAAGUAUGGAAACUAUAAAGGGCGGAGCCACCAUGUUACCCAGUCACAAAGACGCCGUCUGCUGGUGAAUGUGACGAGAGGAGUGUACCUGCCUGAAACUGAGAGACGUCCCUGAGCCCACACAUGAAUGUUUGUACCACCUCCACAUUAGCCCAGAUAGAUUUGACAACGCUCUGCGUCCACCCUGCGUUUUCACAGAGUAAAAUGCGUCAUUGUUUUAGAAAGUCUACGUUUGCGCUGUCCAC
ensembl:lncRNA